AUUGAACGCUGGCGGCAGGCCUAACACAUGCAAUUCGAGCGAGCGGCGGACGGGUGAGUAAUGUAUGGGGAUCUGCCUGAUGGAGGGGGAUAACUUCUGGAAACGGUAUCUAAUACCGCAUACCCUCAUAUGUUCCUAUAUGGGGUUGGCUGGUAGGUAAGGUAACGGCUUACCUUGGCGACGAUCCCUAGCUGGUCUGAGAGGAUGAUCAGCCAAACUGGGACUGAGAAACGGCCCAGACUCCUACGGGAGGCAGCAGUGGGGAAUAUUGCACAAUGGGCGCAAGCCUGAUGCAGCCAUGCCGCGUGUAUGAAGAAGGCCUUCGGGUUGUAAAGUACUUUCAGUCGGGAGGCGUUACCGACAGAAGAAGCACCGGCUAACUCCGUGCCAGCAGCCGCGGUAAUAC
rnacentral:rRNA from 1 species